UUGGAGGGCAAGUCUGGUGCCAGCAGCCGCGGUAAUUCCAGCUCCAAUAGCGUAUAUUAAAGCUGUUGCAGUUAAAAAGCUCGUAGUUGAAUUUCGGGGUCAGUAGGUCGGUCGUGCCACUGGUAUGAACUGGUUUUACUGAUUCCUCCCUCUUGAAGAACUGUAAUGCCAUUAAAUUGGUGUUGCAGGGAAUCAGGACUGUUACUUUGAAAAAAUUAGAGUGUUUAAAGCAGGCUUUAGCUUGAAUACAUUAGCAUGGAAUAAUGAAAUAGGACGUUUGAUCCUAUUUUGUUGGUUUCUAGGAUUGACGUAAUGAUUAAUAGGGAUAGUUGGGGGCAUUAGUAUUCAAUUGUCAGAGGUGAAAUUCUUGGAUUUAUUGAAGACUAACUACUGCGAAAGCAUUUGCCAAGGAUGUUUUCAUUAAUCAAGAACGAAAGUUAGGGGAUCGAAGACGAUCAGAUACCGUCGUAGUCUUAACCAUAAACUAUGCCGACUAGGGAUCGGAUGAUGUUAAUUUUUUAAUGACUCAUUCGGCGCCUUACGGGAAAC
rnacentral:rRNA from 1 species